rnacentral:rRNA from 1 species
UACGUAGGUGGCGAGCGUUGUCCGGAAUUACUGGGUGUAAAGGGCGUGUAGGCGGGAAUGCAAGUCAGAUGUGAAAUACCGAGGCUUAACUUCGGGGCUGCAUCUGAAACUGUAUUUCUUGAGUACCGGAGAGGAAAGUGGAAUUCCCAGUGUAGCGGUGAAAUGCGUAGAUAUUGGGAGGAACACCAGUGGCGAAGGCGACUUUCUGGACGGUAACUGACGCUGAGGCGCGAAAGCGUGGGGAGCAAACAGGAUUAGAUACCCUGGUAGUCCACGCCGUAAACGAUGGAUACUAGGUGUAGGAGGUAUCGACCCCUUCUGUGCCGGAGUUAACACAAUAAGUAUCCCACCUGGGGAGUACGGCCGCAAGGUUGAA